rfam:Crassostrea gigas strain 05x7-T-G4-1.051#20 contig1570, whole genome shotgun sequence.
UCUCAGGGUGGUAAUGCUGCCUACAUGGUGAGGUGACAACAUGAGACAGUGUGUCCUCCCUAAGUU